AUUGAACGCUGGCGGCAGGCCUAACACAUGCAAGUCGAACGAGUGGCGGAGGGGUGAGUAAUGUCUGGGAAACUGCCCGAUGGAGGGGGAUAACUACUGGAAACUGUAGCUAAUACCGCAUUCCAUCGGAUAUGCCCAGAGGGGAUGAUCUAGUGGGUGGGUGAACGGCUCACCUAGGCGACGAUCCCUAUCUGGUCUGAGGGGUUGACCAGCCACACUGUGACGGAGAAACGGUCCAGACUCCUACGGGAGGCAGCAGUGGGGAAUAUUGCACAAUGGGCGCAAGCCGGAUGCAGCCAUGCCGCGUGUAUGAAGAAGGCCCUAGGGUUGUAAAGUACUUUCAGUGAGGAGGCGUUACUGGCAGAAGAAGCACCGGCUAACUCCGUGCCAGCAGCCGCGGUAAUUC
rnacentral:rRNA from 1 species